UACGGGGGGGGUAAGCGUUGUUCGGAAUUACUGGGCGUAAAAGGGCUCGUAGGCGGCCAACUAAGUCAGACGUGAAAUUCCUCAGCUUAACUGGGAACUGCGUCUGAUACUGGAUGGCUUGGAUUCGGGAGAGGAAUGCGGAAUUCCAGGUGUAGCGGUGAAAUGCGUAGAUAUGGAGAACACCGGUGGCGAAGGCGGCAUUCUGGACCGACAUUGACGCUGAGGAGCGAAAGCCAGGGGAGCAAAGCGG
rnacentral:rRNA from 1 species